rnacentral:rRNA from 1 species
AAAAAUAACGAUACGGGACUCUAUUGAGGCCCCGUAAUCGGAAUGAGUACACUUUAAAUCCUUUAACAAGGAUCCAUUGGAGGGCAAGUCUGGUGCCAGCAGCCGCGGUAAUUCCAGCUCCAAUAGCGUAUAUUAAAGUUGUUGCGGUUAAAAAGCUCGUAGUUGGUUCUGCGUGCCGCGCUGUCGGUUCGCCGCCUGUCGGUGUAACUGGCAUGUCGCGGCAUGUCCUGUCGGUGGUGAACGGAGUCCACAAUGCUACAUAGGCUUUAUAGCCGAUGUUGGCGUCGUGUGUACUUCCGUUGGCCGAUCUCUCCUACUUCGGUGCUCUUAAACGAGUGUCGAGGUAGGCCGACACGUUCACUUUGAACAAAUUAGAGUGCUUAAAGCAGGCUGAAAUAUCUGCCUGAAUAGUGGUGCAUGGAAUGAUAAAACAGGACCUCGGUUCUAUUUUGUUGGUUUUAGGAAUAUGAGGUAAUGAUCAAUGUGGACUGGCGGGGGCAUUCGUAUUGCGACGUUAGAGGUGAAAUUCUUGGAUCGUCGCAAGACGCACUAGAGCGAAAGCAUUUGCCAAGUAUGUCUUAAUUGAUCAAGAACGAAAGUUAGAGGUUCGAAGGCGAUCAGAUACCGCCCUAGUUCUAACCAUAAACGAUGCCAGCCAGCGAUCCGCCGAUGUUCCUUUAAUGACUCGGCGGGGAGCUUCCACCCGGGAAACCAAAGCUUUUGGGUUCCGGGGGAAGUAUGGUUGCAAAGCUGAAACUUAAAGGAAUUGACGGAAGGGCACCACCAGGAG